AAUGAACGCUGGCGGCGUGCCUAACACAUGCAAGUCGGAUGUGCCGCAAGGUGCAUGGCAGACGGGUGAGUAACGCGUAGGGAAUCUACCUUUUUGUGGGGAAUAACGCUCCGAAAGGAGUGGUAAUACCGCAUGAGACCGUGAGCUGGGAUGUUCACGGUGAAACCUGGGGACCGCAAGGCCUGGGGCAAAAAGAGGAUCCUGCGUCUGAUUAGCUAGUUGGCGGGGUAAUGGCCCACCAAGGCGACGAUCAGUAGCCGGCCUGAGAGGGUGAUCGGCCACACUGGACCUGAGACCCGGCCCAGACCCUUACGGAGGGCAGCAGGGGGAAAUUUGGCGCAUGGGCCGAAAGUCUGACGAAGCAACGCGGCGGGGGUGAUGAAGGUCUCCGGACUGUAAACCCUGUCGUCAGGGACGAAGGUGGCAGUGUUAAUAGCGCUGUUACUUGACGGUACCUGGAGAGGAAGCCCCGGCUAACUCUGUG
rnacentral:rRNA from 1 species